AGAGAGAGACCUGAGACAGAUGUCAAUGAGAGAGUUUAGACAGACAGAUAGGUCAGUGAUACAGUGUAGAAUAAAAUAGGAUUCCGAUGCCAAGCUCGCCCUCUGUCCACAUAAGAUACAGUCAUAGAUUCUCUUCCCUACUAUACUCACCAGAAUAGACGCCUGACACCCCAACAAUGAGCAGCAGGAACACGGGACCCAUUGUGUCCCCAGCGCAGUGAUUCAUAGACAGCUAAAAACUCUCAGCCUGGACUGUGCUGGGAGGGGGGAGCUCUGUAUAUAUAGAGGGAGAAGGAGCUUUGUGCUGAUUGGAUGCAGCUUCACCAUCUGUCCAAUGGGAAAAU